UACGGAGGGUGCGAGCGUUAAUCGGAAUUACUGGGCGUAAAGCGCACGUAGGCGGUCAGGCAAGUCGGGUGUGAAAGCCCUGGGCUCAACCUGGGAAUUGCAUUCGAAACUAUCUGACUCGAGUAUGGGAGAGGGAAGCGGAAUUUCCGGUGUAGCGGUGAAAUGCGUAGAUAUCGGAAGGAACACCAGUGGCGAGGGCGGCUUCCUGGACUAAUACUGACGCUGAGGUGCGAAAGCGUGGGGAGCAAACAGG
rnacentral:rRNA from 1 species